rnacentral:ncRNA from 1 species
UGAGGACACUUUUAAAUCCUUUAACAAGGACCUAAUUGGAGGCAAGUUUUGGGCCCAGCAGCCGGCCGGUAUUUCAAGCUUCAAAUAGCGUAUAUAAAAGUUGUUGCGGUUAAAACGUUCGUAGUUGAACUUGUGCUUCAUACGGGUAGUACAACGUACAAUUGUAGUUAGUACUAUACCUUUAUGUAUGUAAGCGUAUUACCGGUGGAGUUCUUAUAUUUAAUUAAAUACUUGUAUUUUAUUUAUAUAUUCCUCCUAUUUAAAAACCUGCAUUAGUGCUCUUCAUCGAGUGUUAUUGUGGGCCGGUACAAUUACUUUGAACAAAUUAGAGUGCUUAAAGCAGGCUUCAAAUGCCUGAAUAUUCUGUGCAUGGGAUAAUGAAAUAAGACCUCUGUUCUGCUUUCAUUGGUUUUCAGAUCAAGAGGUAAUGAUUAAUAGAAGCAGUUUGGGGGCAUUAGUAUUACGACGCGAGAGGUGAAAUUCUUGGACCCGCCU